rnacentral:rRNA from 1 species
UGGGGAAUUUUGGACAAUGGGCGAAAGCCUGAUCCAGCAAUGCCGCGUGUGUGAAGAAGGCCUUCGGGUUGUAAAGCACUUUUGUCCGGAAAGAAAUCCUUGGCUCUAAUACAGUCGGGGGAUGACGGUACCGGAAGAAUAAGCACCGGCUAACUACGUGCCAGCAGCCGCGGUAAUACGUAGGGUGCAAGCGUUAAUCGGAAUUACUGGGCGUAAGCGUGCGCAGGCGGUUUGCUAAGACCGAUGUGAAAUCCCCGGGCUCAACCUGGGAACUGCAUUGGUGACUGGCAGGCUAGAGUAUGGCAGAGGGGGGUAGAAUUCCACGUGGUAGCAGUGAAAUGCGUAGAGAUGUGGAGGAAUACCGAUGGCGAAGGCAGCCCCCUGGGCCAAUACUGACGCUCAUGCACGAAAGCGUGGGGAGC